GAUAGUGAUGCCGUGUUGCCAGUGGUGGCCCUGGGUGGAAGGGGGAAGACCCUCGAGAACCGUGUAGCUGUUUUCCUUACUGCCAAUGAAAACUUCCCCUCUGGCAAAAGCAUCCUGAGGAGGAGAAGAUCAGCCAAUUUUAGCAGGAACAUCUAAAGAAUCUCUGCAAGCAACAUGGAAUCAGAGAAGCAAAUCUUCUAAAGAGAGACCUAUCCCUGACUGCCAGAGAAAAGAUGGUUUUUGGAGUUCAGAUAACUAUAUGAGACAUUUCUACAGGGGACUUAAGAUCAGGAUAAGGACACCAUAGACCAAAAUCUACACCAAAUGGCCUGAUAUUUUGCCUCUACCUCUCUCCUCAAAAAGGGAGUUACACUCUAUUGGAUUUCAGAUGGUACCAUCCAUUGCCAGCCCAACUGCCACCACUCUUCACCCCCUGGAUCAAGUGCAUCGAUUCUUUCCAAAGACGUGACCAGGACCAGCACAAUGUCCCAGCUCAGCCUGAAGAAGUUACAAAAGUCGAGACCUUUGCCCAUUCUCCUCAGAUUUCUUAAUUUCUUGGCUUUUAAAAGGGGGGAUGGGUAGUGAGAGAUAGUCAUAGGAAUGGGACCCUCAUACUCUGAAACCUUGCAUUUCUCACUAGUAAACACUGGUUAAACAUCAACUGCAAAACCUGUAGUUUCAGCAUAUAGGCAGGCAUGAAUUGAAGAUUGACCAAUUACCUACUCUGUGAACUGGAUCUGUAAUACUCUAUACUGGGCAUCAGCUUUAUGCCUAAUCUGUUUUAUUAAUUACUCUUAGAACAGAAAGACAUAAUUAAUUACCUAUAGUGGUCCUUUGAGGUACUGCAUCUCUCCCUCCCCCAAAGUUCUCAUUCUAGAAGGGCAGCGAGACCUUUCCCACGUUGACAAAUGAUGACAAGGUGGACAAUGGGGGAACACGGAACCUGCACACUGGGGACUCUGGCAUUCCAGAAUCCCUCAAUCUUGUACUUGCUCCAUAUUCCCUAUGGCAACAAACUCCAAAACAUACCUUCGCCUGAGUUUAGAAUGGGAGAUGCCAAACUAUCAGACCCCAAUAAACGUGCCAAUCCUAAUGCACAGGGUAGGGAAGCUGCUACUCCUGGGUGGGAGCUACCACUCUACAGCAGAGCUGCUACUUCAUAUAUCAGCUCCAAAAAGGCUGCUCUACUAGCCCCUGGGCUUAUCCAUUAGCCUUACGGCUGCCUGAUUAGCCCCCAGACUAUUCUACCAGCUAUUCUACCACCAGAAACCAUUUCUUCUUUAAAUAAAAUUCUUUGAGU